GAUGAACGCUAGCUACAGGCUUAACACAUGCAAGUCGAGGGGAAACGAUAGGGAAAGCUUGCUUUUUCUAGGCGUCGACCGGCGCACGGGUGAGUAACGCGUAUCCAACCUGCCCAUCACUUGGGGAUAACCUUGCGAAAGUAAGACUAAUACCCAAUGACGUCUCUAGAAGACAUCUGAAGGAGAUUAAAGAUUUAUCGGUGAUGGAUGGGGAUGCGUCUGAUUAGCUUGUUGGCGGGGUAACGGCCAACCAAGGCGACGAUCAGUAGGGGUGCUAAUAGCAAGGUCCCCCACGUUGGAACUGAGACACGGUCCAAACUCCUACGGGAGGAAGAAGAGAGGAAUAUUGGUCAAUGGACGAGAGUCUGAACCAGCCAAGUAGCGGGCAGGAAGACGGCCCUAUGGGUUGUAAACUGCUUUUAUAAGGGAAUAAAGUGAGUCUCGUGAGACUUUUUGCAUGUACCUUAUGAAUAAGGACCGGCUAAUUCCGUGCCAGCAGCCGCCGUAA
rnacentral:rRNA from 1 species